UAACACGUAUCCAACCUGCCGUCUACUCUUGGACAGCCUUCUGAAAGGAAGAUUAAUACAAGAUGGCAUCAUGAGUCCGCAUGUUCACAUGAUUAAAGGUAUUCCGGUAGACGAUGGGGAUGCGUUCCAUUAGAUAGUAGGCGGGGUAACGGCCCACCUAGUCUUCGAUGGAUAGGGGUUCUGAGAGGAAGGUCCCCCACAUUGGAACUGAGACACGGUCCAAACUCCUACGGGAGGCAGCAGUGAGGAAUAUUGGUCAAUGGGCGAGAGCCUGAACCAGCCAAGUAGCGUGAAGGAUGACUGCCCUAUGGGUUGUAAACUUCUUUUAUAAAGGAAUAAAGUCGGGUAUGCAUACCCGUUUGCAUGUACUUUAUGAAUAAGGAUCGGCUAACUCCGUGCCAGCAGCCGCGGUAAUACGGAGGAUCCGAGCGUUAUCCGGAUUUAUUGGGUUUAAAGGGAGCGUAGAUGGAUGUUUAAGUCAGUUGUGAAAGUUUGCGGCUCAACCGUAAAAUUGCAGUUGAUACUGGAUAUCUUGAGUGCAGUUGAGGCAGGCGGAAUUCGUGGUGUAGCGGUGAAAUGCUUAGAUAUCACGAAGAACUCCGAUUGCGAAGGCAGCCUGCUAAGCUGCAACUGACAUUGAGGCUCGAAAGUGUGGGUAUCAAACAGGAUUAGAUACCCUGGUAGUCCACACGGUAAACGAUGAAUACUCGCUGU
rnacentral:rRNA from 1 species